rnacentral:rRNA from 1 species
CCCUUAGAUGUUCUGGGCCGCACGCGCGCUACACUGAUGCAUUCAACGAGUUUUACCUUGGCCGAGAGGCCUGGGCAAUCUUUUAAACCUGCAUCGUGAUAGGGAUAGAUUAUUGCAAUUAUUAAUCUUGAACGAGGAAUUCCUAGUAAACGCAAAUCAUCAAUUUGCAUUGAUUACGUCCCUGCCCUUUGCACACACCGCCCGUCGCACCUACCGAUUGAAUGGUCCGGUGAAGCCUCGGGAUUGUGGCCAGUUCACUUUAUUGGGAGUUGGCUGUGAGAACUUGUCUAAACCUUAUCAUUUAGAGGAAGGUGAAGUCGUAACA